rnacentral:SRP_RNA from 1 species
GCUGGGCACGGUGGCACGUGCCUGUAGUCCCAGCUACUCGGGAGGCUGAGGUGGGAGGAUUGCUUGAGCCCAGGAAUUCUGGGCUAUAGUGCGCUAUGCCCAUGGAGUGUCCGCACUAAGUUCGGCAUCAAUAUGGUGACCUCCCUGGAGCUGGGGACCACCAGGUUGCCUAAGGAGUGGUGAACCAGCCCAGGUCGGAACGGAGCAGGUCAAAACUCCCAUUCUGAUCAGUAGUAGGAUCACACCUGUGAUAGCCACCUCAUAAACUACUUAAUAAAUACAUUUCUCACUCUACUCUA